rnacentral:misc_RNA from 1 species
AUGGUGAACGGUGUGAGCU